rnacentral:siRNA from 1 species
UACAAUUGUUCGGCUGUCUU